AAAAAGGAGAGAAAAACCAAAGUCAUAGGAAAUUCAGUCCCUUCGCCUUUUUCCCUUCUGUUCUUCUUGCCUCUUUCUCAUCUCUAUCCGUCUCUCCAAAACGCGGAUUCGCCGAUUCUCUCUUAAAAAUCCUAUCUUUUUUUCUUGUAUAGGCCAUAAAGAUUCAACCCCAACAACAAUAAUCAGAAGAAGGAGAAGAGUAAGCCAUUUUUCUGUUCUUUCUCUUUUUCCCCUUCUUUUCGUUUUUCAAUUAAAAAAUAAGAGACUAUUUCUUCUACGAGGAGAUUUUGGAGCUGCAGAGAUCUCAUAUAGAACAAAAAACUGAAAAAAGGGCUUGUGCUGCCUCAAAAUCUCUAUAUUUAGAUCUAAGUUUUGGAGUUAUUUGAUUGGAGGGCUUUCUAAUGGCAUCAGCUGCGAUUUUCUCGUCUCUAAGGCGGCGGAGAUCGCCGUCGUUGGAGGCGUUCUUGGCUCCUGUUGAUUUAACCGAUGUCGCCCUUAUACAAACCCUGGCAUCGGUGUCAACGGAGCUGGUAUCGUGUUUCUCGGGCAAAUCGUUCUUCUUUCAGCGAAAGAAUUCGCGGUCUCUGAUUCGAAAGAUUGAGCUUUUCGUUGUUCUGUUGGAGUAUUUGAGGGAUUCUGGGUCAGGUCCCAAUUUGUCUUCCACGACGAUUGUUUGUUUUAAGGAGCUCUAUUUGCUUUUGUACCGGUCCAAGAUAUUGCUUGAUUAUUGUGCGCAAUCGAGUAAGUUAUGGCUGUUGCUACAAAACCAGUCCAUUUCGGGGCAUUUUCAUGAUCUGAAUCAGGAAAUAUGGACCCUUUUGGACGUUUUUCCUUUGGGAAAUCUUGAAUUGAGCGACGAUGUUCGGGAGCAGAUUGAGCUCAUGCAAAAACAGACGAGGAAAGCAAGGUUAUAUAUUGAUAAAAACGAUGAGGCUUUGCGGGUUAGGCUCUUUUCAUUUCUUGAUGAGUUUGAGAAUGGGAGGAUUUCUAGUGUGGUGGAGCUGAGGUCGUUCUUUGUGGAUAAUUUGGGGAUAAGGGAUGCCAAGAGUUGUAGAACAGAGAUUGAGUUCUUGGAGGAACAGAUUGUUAAUCAUGAGGGAGAUGUUGAACCAACGGCUUCGGUGCUUAAUGGAUUUGUUGCAAUAACACGGUAUUGUAGGUUUUUGCUUUUUGGGUUUGAGACAAAUGAGGUGGAGUUGCAAUUUGGGAGUCAGAAGAAGCCAAGAAAAGGGUUGAUCUCUCAAGAGAUUGCAGACACUUUUAUCUCUAUACCGAAAGAUUUUUGUUGCCCAAUAUCAUUGGAUUUGAUGCGAGAUCCUGUGAUAAUUUCUACAGGGCAGACAUACGAUCGGAGUUCAAUAUCUAGAUGGGUAGAGGAAGGGCAUUCUACGUGCCCCAAGACAGGGCAAAUGCUCACCAACACCCGCCUUGUCCCCAAUCGAGCUUUGAAGAAUUUGAUUGUACAAUGGUGCACUGCUCAUGGAAUCCCUUUUGAGCCCCCAGAGAACACAGAUUCAUCUGCAGAGGCUUUUGCUGCAACGUUGCCUACCAAAGCUGCAAUAGAAGCCAACAGAGCCACAGCAAGACUUCUCAUUCAACAACUGGCAAAUGGGUCACAAGGUGCAAAAACUGUUGCUGCUCGCGAGAUCCGUUUGUUAGCAAAAACAGGAAAAGAAAACCGUGCUUUCAUUGCCGAAGCUGGGGCAAUUCCCCAUCUCCGCAAGCUGCUAUCAUCUUCAAACCCCGUUGCUCAAGAGAAUUCUGUAACAGCAAUGCUUAAUCUUUCAAUUUAUGAUAAGAACAAAAGCCACAUUAUGGAUGAAGAGGGGUGCUUGGGAUCUAUUGUCGAAGUAUUAAGGUUUGGGCUCACUACAGAGGCAAGGGAAAAUGCAGCAGCAACGUUGUUUAGCCUGUCAGCAGUUCAUGAUUACAAGAAGAGAAUAGCAGAUGAGGAAGGGGCUGUGGAAGCCCUGGCAGGGCUGUUGAGAGUGGGGACACCGCGUGGGAAGAAAGAUGCAGUAACUGCUUUGUUUAAUCUGUCAACUCAUACGGAAAAUUGUGCGAGAAUGAUUGAGGCAGGGGCUGUUACAGCACUAGUAGGUGCUCUGGGAAUUGAAGGGGUUGCAGAGGAAGCAGCAGGAGCAUUGGCUUUGAUUGUGAGGCAGCCAAUUGGGGCUGAAGCAGUGGGUAGGGAGGAAAUGGCUGUCACAGGGUUAAUAGGAAUGAUGCGGUGUGGGACUCCAAGAGGGAAAGAAAAUGCUGUUGCAGCCUUGCUUGAGUUGUGCAGGAGUGGUGGGGCGGCUGCGACUGAGAGAGUAAUCCGUGCACCAGCAUUGGCUGGUUUACUGCAGACUUUGCUGUUCACGGGUACAAAGAGAGCAAGAAGGAAGGCAGCAUCACUUGCUAGAGUGUUUCAAAGGUGUGAGAAUUAUGCCUUGCAUUUUGGUGGAUUGGGUGCUGGAUAUGCAUUUGCUGGCAACUCUGCUACAAAUCGGGAUUCAAGUUUCGUUGGUGAUGUCUCAGUGGCCAUGUCCAUCUCAGUACCCGUUUUGUAAUGGUAACAAACAGUCUUGUCGUUGUCUACCAUGAUUAUAUGUGUCCGUUUUUUGGUUCGUAAUAUUUACAAAUUCUUUCAUUGAAAUUUAGAUGAUAAAAGAGAAUUUUACAGAAACACCAUAUCUCGUGUCUUUUGAAAGAAUGAUCAGUGUUAUUGAGCUGUUAGCUCAGAUACAUGUAAUGUCCAGUAAUUUAGAACACCAGAACACAAAUGAUUCAAUAUGAACAGAUAUUAUUAGUAUGUAAUGUCGAGUCAUGUACAACACUUAAAUAUGAUUCAUCCAAAAUUAUGCUAAUCGGACUUCUAUACGUGUGUCAAGAGAGUUUCAUGCAUGGCUGAUCAAGUCUUUGCAUGAAGAAUGCUGGAGAGAGAUGCAACUUAUUAUUUUCUGUUUUCUUAAGCCAUGCUAAUAAAGAGGGCUCCAUAGAAGUGGUUCAUGUCACUUUACUGAGUCCUGAAGUGAU
rnacentral:misc_RNA from 1 species